CAGACAUUAAAUUUCGUUCUAUUCAUUUUAGACAUAUAAUGCUAAGCUGAUUUUUUUAUAGCACACUGAUCGAUAUCUCUGUAAAAUAAUCAUUUUUUUAACUAGCGGGGCAGUGAAAUCUUUGCUUUGUGCUAAAGUCAACAGUGACAGAGUUUGAGCUCAAAUAAAUGCCGUGAUGUCUGGAGCCCUUUGCAGAAGGCAGAAGGCGAGCUUCUACAAUGGGCUCCUGUGUGGCUUGCCAACAACAAGCAGCGGCUAUUUUGCACAGGGCUCUGCUGACUGAAGUGAUCCCCACGGCCUCAGUGGAAGAGAGGAGGGAGAGGCGGCCUCAGAGGGAAGAGGGAUAGCUGCAGAAGAGCUACACUGAUGCACGUACACACACACACACACACUUGAACACUCACACAAUGUCCCUCUCAGUCCUGGGUUGUGACCGGCCCAUGGCAUUGGCCAGAUGCCCAUGGCUUUCAUUUGACAGGCGCUUUCCAUUGCUGCUUACGUCUGCUUUCAUCACCCUGCAUCAAGCAACCUGAAAGAACUUCGCUGUCGAUGUACUUGGCUAUAUGUACGUCUGACCUGUCUGCCAUAUGUAAUAUCAAAGCCUCUGUCAGCGUGGAGCUGAAUGGGAACAAAAGAGAGGCCUCCAUUAAUGAUUAACUGUUCUAAAAGCCCCGGCUUUUGUAUUCCCAUGGUGCCCAGGCUAUCUGGCCACCAUGUGACAUGCUCACUGCAUUUUUCGAGCAGAUUGGGGGAAAGCUAGUGAGCAAACACAGGUGCUUUGGAGCAGCGUUGCCGACGCUGUCAGGGACAACCACAAACAAGAGCAGCUAUGCCUGGCUAAAUGAAUCCCCACCCCUCCCAACACCAUCACCACCUCCACCACCCCCUCUCUGUCGCUAGCUAACUUGUUUGCUAGCUUCCUAUAGCUUUCUCCCUAACCCUUCCUUCUGGAGCGUCCCCAUGUUACCCCCCCCCCCGCACCGAAACACACACACACACACACAAGUCCAAUGUCCACUGCAGCCGCGCUCCACAACUUCUCACACCCUCCAAAGAAACAAACAAAUAAAAGUGAGGACGGCCGACCACUUCUUUGAGGUGAUGGCAUUUGCUGUGGUCAUGACUAGUGGGAGAGCAAACAAAUUAAUGGUGUUCGAGUUUUCACUUUCCAAACCAAACUAAAUGUCUUUUAGUUCAAGUGGGGCUAUUCCACUGACCCUGGUGUCAAAUGCUGUAUAAGGGUUGCACACUCUUGCACUUGAAAUGCUGAGAAGAGGCUGUAAGAAAUUAAACAGGGCUUGAGUAUCGACCUACACGAGCUCAGUCUGUUGAAACGCCUCAAAGCAGCAGGUGAAAGAUAAAUCUUGAAUAAAUUGUACGUGUAAUAAACAGUCAUGGUCUAUUUUUGCAGAUGUGUAUUUUGACCACAAACUUUAACAUGAGGUGCCUGGAGCACUUAACCUUUUCAUCCAGACUGACUGAUUGUUCAGAGUGACUGUGGCUGCUGUGUCGUUCAUCUUUGAUAAGACAAUCAGAUGAUAGGAUGGCGUUAUCUUAACAUGGCUUUCCGGCUGGGGGACAAAUGAACAGUGUGUGAUAACAGGAACAAAAGCUUGGCUCUUAUUUGGCUGGCUCCUCUGAAGAAAGGAAAAAUCAUCAGGGUGGAACAUUCACAAGAGGCAUAGUUUUCAUUUUAAAAUUUCUACUUAGCUCAGUUUACAGGAACAGCUUUUUUCUAAUCACUCAAACAUUUUUAUAUUGUCUCUUGUUCAUGUUUUGGUCUCCCAGCCUGCAAUUACCAGCAUAUAUAAAGCAGUUAUUAUCACAGGAAAGAUGAUAAAAAAUGUUUUAAAGCAAACAAUUUAAAUCAGCAGUACAGGAAAUUAAGCUGUAAAAGAGAGGUAAGAAGACAGAUAAUGAGUAAAAAUAUAAAGUGUGGACAUGUUUAUAGAGGAACUAAAGGAUGGAAAAAUGGUGUAUGUGAGAGAGGAAGAGAUGAAAAGCCAAAAAAAAGAAGGUCAAAAGUUGUUUCCUCGGAGACCCGCUACUGAUCAGCAAAACGUCACUUCUGUCUGGGUUUUCUGACUUUUGCAGCCCAAUUCUCAGAGUCAGAGAGGGGUGUGUAUACUCAAGGAUUCACUCAGGGAUUUGUUUGCUCUAUUGCCAAAAAAUGAUUGGAAAAAAUAUUGGUGCCUUGGCAGGAAAUGUUAGAACUUUCUCAGAACUAAAAAAAAACAACUGGAACUGUGUAGAAAUUGCAUGAAUAAAAUAUAUCUUUUAAAGAGAAA